rnacentral:misc_RNA from 1 species
GACAACAACGAAAUAGGAAAUAGCAAUAGGAAUAGGAAUAGGAAUAGGAACAACAAAAUAUAGUUGUAGAUUUCGCUGAUUGAGGAAAACACACAGAUACGAUACACACACACACAUACACAGAUACAUUUAUAAAGAGAAUCCAAUUGCAUUACUAGUCGAGUGAUCGGGAGGCGUGAGACGUGACGAAGACGAUGCCCAAUAAUCGCAAUCGCAAUCGUAAUCGCAAUCGCAACAAACGCAAUCGAAACCAAAAUCAAAACCAAAACCAAAACCAAAACCAGCAGCAGCAGGAACAGCGGCAGGAGGAGCAGCAGGAUCCCCAGCCAGAGGCAGAGGCAGAGGCAAAGCCAGAGGCAUCAUAUUCUUCCAUAGCUGAUAAUGGAAAUUCUGGCAGCGUUUCAAAUGAAUUGGACACGGGUACCGCCACCAACAAAGUUGCUGUGGAUCCGCAGCUAGGAGAGUGGGAGGAGCCACCAAAAGCAGCAGCAGCAACAGUAGAAGAAGAGGAAUCCACAAUUCGCGCAGCGAAAGACGAAACGGAAGAAAAAGAACCAUCUACGAGCAGCAACAAAACAGAGAUGGGGUCCAAAAACUCCAAGCAUCAGACGGAUAAAUCCGGCAAGCAAUCCAGCAAUGAGCCGGAGAAGCACAAAAAGGAGUCGGAGCAGCAGGAGGUGCCUCCGUUGAAGGCACCGGGAAGUCCCCGACAAGCCAAGGUCAUAGUGCAUCGCAUUGUGCGGGAAGCGGAUGAGACAGAUGGGGCAGAUGGGGCAGAGCAGCCAAAAGGGGAAUCCCCCAUUCAGGAUCAAUCACAGGAUCAGCAGCAGUCAAACACUAGUCAAGAUCUGAAAGAAGAUGUCGCACAACGCAAUGAAGAGGUCCCUGUUCCUCAUGUUGCCCCACAUCCGCAGGGGCCGCCGCUGCAGCGCAGCACAAAAGUGAUCAUCCACCAGAUACGCCUGGAAAGGGACGAUCACGCGGCCGAUCAAGUCCGUGAAGGUAAGCCCACCUUUGAGGAGAUCAGCACCACCUCACCAGCACCCCCCGCUUCGCUGAGCCUCAGCCAAGAACCAGGAUCAGGCACUCUGUCGCCGCCGCCGCGCUAUCUGGUAGAGUCGCCCAAGAACGUGUCCGGCGCCGUGGGACAGUUCACGCACUUCGCCCGCGACGUUCAGAUCCAGGAGCUGGAGCUGACCAGCGACUGCAGCUCCGGGGAGUUCAAUGUACUGGCUUCGCCGCUUGUGUGCGAGGCGGACUCCGAAACGGAGGCAGCACCGGCCACGCCCACGUCAACAUCCCCGCCGGAUUUGCAGCCGUCCAGCCGCGCCGAGCAACAAGAGCAGCUGCGGCAGAAGCGCGCCCAGAAACGGAACGCCCUGGAGACGCACUUCCUGCCGCAGCUGAUGCACCCGCGCUACCUGGACAGCAUUCUGGAGGAGAACAGCGAUCUGGCAGGUUUCGGGCAUCCCGGCCUAAAUCGCAGCAGCUCUUCCGGAAACGAUCUGGCGGGGAUGCGCGUUCCGAAGGUGACCGAAACGUUCCCCAAGAGCCAGCUGGACUUUAGCCGUCGGCACAAGCGCAGGGAGGAGCCGGUGGCCCUCAUGCUGGAGACGAAGCUGAUCGAAGAGGCCAGCGACCUCGAGAGCUGCACUCGACUGCAGAGCGCACUGUCGCCCCAGUCCGAGGACGCGGAAUUGGUGUACCUCAGCUCCUCGGCCUCCAGCAGCAUGUCCGACCUGAUGGAGCUCGAGCUGGAGCAGGCCGCCGCUCUGGCUGAGCGCGCCCUCGUCGACCUGGACACGGAUGCCAGCAAACUGUUCCGACGGCCCGACGACGAGAUGAGCAGCACGACCACCACGGAUCCGGCCACGUCAUCGAACGAGACGGAAACGGAGGGCGAACUGGAGACGGAAACGGAAACGGAGAGGGACGCGGAGAGUCGCGAGAGCACACCUGUUAACCAAUUCGUCGGCAACGCGGGAGCGGGAGCGGGAGCGUCGGCUAGCAGCUCGUUGUCUUCUCUUUUGAGUGCGGCAACGCCGACGCCCACAGCAGAGCAGCCAACGAGAGCAGAAGAUACAUUUGUAUCUUUCGGAUCGAUUCGCGAACAGGCCCCAGAGGCCAGCGGCGGCAGUAUCGGUGCAGCGUCAGCGCUGUCGGCCACGCGAGAGGAGUUCGUUCGCAAUAUGGAAAAAGUGCGCGAGUUGAUCGAGAUGACGCGACGCGAGCAGGAGCACGAGGAGACCAGAGAUGGAGUCGUGUCCGCUCCGACUGCUCCGGAGCAGUCCGGUAUGCCACGUUCGCCAUCGCCCCCGCCCAUUCCGCCGCCACCCGCUGGCCUACAGCACUACAAUCCCACCAACAGUCCCGACCACCCCCACACAGUGUGCUCCGGUGUCUUGGCGCCUCUCCUGCUUAGCCGCCAGGAGUCCGCGGAGUCGCACUGCUCGGACAGCACCCAGCACAGCCAGUGCACGGCCAUCAAUCUGGCCUCGCCCCCGCCCAGCUUUGCUAGCAGCAGUCCCCCGCCACAGCCCCAGCCACUGCCACAGAAACAGCCACAGCCACCCACACCGCCCCUCAGACAACAACAGUACCAUGCACCAAUAUACCCUGUUCCUCUUUCCGCUCCUGCACCUGCUCCUGCUUCCACCUGCACGCACCCAGAACCCCCCACCAGGCAGCAGCAGCAAGAGUCAGAGAUUUCAGUUGCAGAUGACGAACUGGAACCGGAACCGGAAUCGGAAUCGGAUCCCAUAAAGAAGCUUCGCCUGCUGUGCACCGAGACCUUGGCGUCUAUGCCGUAUGGCGAGCAGGUGCUCGAGGAACUAGCCAGCGUGGCCCAGGACAUAGCGGAGCCAAGAGCUCAGCAGCACAACUCCACCACGAUGCCCUAUCCCCUGCCAGAGAUGCCCCACAUUCGGGAGCUGCAGCUGUCCACUAAACACGAGAGCAAGUCAUCGUCGUCGUCGUCGUUCUCCUCUUCCGCCUGGCUGGGCAUGCCCACACAGGCGGAUCCCAAGCUGCUGGUAUGCCUGUCGCCGGCACAGCGUCCACUGAUCGGAGAGACCAAGCCCGAUCAGCUGCUGGACGACCAUCAGAAGUUCGUGGAGCGACGAGGCUACCACGAGCUGAGCAGCGCCCAAGUGCGUGCCCUCGACAGCGAGCAGGAGCAACAGCAGCAGCAGCAGAAGCAGAGCGAGAUGCUCAAGACGGCGGCCAUGAUGCGAGAGUUGCGCAAGAGCCUGACACCCACGCCGCCGCCUGUGCCAGUGAAGAGCGCCGAAACAGCGGCCAAGGCGAGCGCCAAGAGAGAUGACGCAAGCGACCCGAAGAAGAACGCAGCAUCAGUGGGAGCAUCGUCAUCGAUUGAAAAUAAACCAAGGCGAGCAGCUGAUCCCAUCGAGCAGCAAUCGACAGAGCAGCAAGAGCAGCACCAGCAGCAGCAGACCAGAUCCAGCCACCAGAUGAACAGCAGCACGGACGUCAGAUUCCCGGCCACCUCAAUGGGCGGAAUGGAGAGCGAGCUGGCCAGGAUGUUCCCCAGCAUGGCCCAGCAGCAGGGCGACAUCUUUGAGGAGCAGCGCAAGCGCUUCUCCAACAUCGAGACGUCCAACAGCCAGCAGCCAAGGGCGCAGCAGAGCAAGCGGUACUCGAACAUCGAGACCAGCUCGUACGAGUCGAAGAAGCGCACGGAGAACGGUCAGGUGAUCUACGACAUAACGAAUUCCAGCCACGAGAAGCAGAGCAACCGCUUCCCGGUAGCGGAGACAGAGGCCAGGUCGGAUUCCCCCGACCACGCCCCGCCGCCACCCGUCCCACCGCCGCCAAUUAUGUCAGCAACGAAAUUAAACGGUUCGACUACGGCAAACACUUUCAUUGAGGAUGAUGACGCGCCCAAAAAUAGCCGGCAAGAGCCGGAUAGGCGAGAGAAUGGCGCGAGCAAUCGCGAGAGUGGCACUGCCUCUACCUCUACCUCUACCUUUGGCGGCACGUAUGAGGAAUUUCGGCAGCGUGCCAAGGCAGCCGUGGAUGCCAUUGGAGGACCCCGACCACCACCGACAGCCCCGGCCAACGGGUUGGACAAUGAGAAGGUGUUCAAGGACUUCGACCGGCUCUCGCAGCAGAUGAACGCCGAGCUGCAGUCCACGAGGGAGCGGCGCGAGAAGUCCGCCUCGCUCUUCGAUCUCAGCGGGAUGACCAGGAGCCAGGGGAAGCAUCCGCUGGAGGAGUUGAAGCAGCGGCGGCACGCCCACAUGCAGGAGCUUGAGCGUGAGAUCGAGCGGUCUUCCCGAUCGCGGCAGGAGCGCAUGUCCUCGGUGCCACGCAACCUGGAGAGCACACCCACGUCCAGGACCCACGAGAUUCCCAUCGAACUGGAGCUGGAGCAGGGGCAGGAGCAGCGUUCCCGGCGCGCCGAAUCCAUGUGCAACCUGAGCGACCCACGCCCCCGGCCACACACCUCCGUGGGGCACUACAACUACAGCAACAACAACAGCAGCUUGUCGCAGGACGACUGGGCGCGUUAUGCCAGCGAUCUGGGAUACUCGGAGAACAUCGCGCGACCCUUUGCCCGCGAGGUGGAGAUCUGCUACCAGCGUCAGGGACAGAAUCCGACUCCCAGGCACUCGCAGCCCAUCCGGGCGCCACGCCUCUCUGCCAGCACCAACGACCUGAGCAGCAGUGGCCACCAGCACAGCUUCGAUAGCUACAACGCGUACGGCGGCAGGAGGACGCACGCGCCAAUGCUCAGCCAGGCGCCACAGCAGCAGCGGCCCCACUACGCCAGCUGCUACUCGAUGAUCGAGCGAGAUCCGAAUCCGAAGUACAUCAGCACCACCUCCAGGCGAGGCGUGAGCCCGGGCCCAGCUCCAUCGCCAGUCAUAGGCGUACCGCCGCCAGCCUAUGAUCGCCAGCAGAGGCGAUCCUCGCUGCCGCGUGAGCUGCACGAGCAGCAGCUCAAGUACAUCCUGUCCAAGGAGGAGGAACUGCGCCUGGAGGUGGAGCGGCUGCAGCUGGAGCGCCGGCGCCUGAUGGAGGAGAUGCAGCGGGCGCCCAUAUUGCCGCAGCCACAGCGACGGGAGAGCUAUCGGCCGGCGGCCAAGCUGCCGACGCUCAGCGAGGACGAGGUGUUCCGCCAGCAGAUGGCCGAGGAGUGGAUGAACAAGGUGGCCGAGCGUGAGGAGCGGCGCCAGCACAAGAUCAUCAAGAUCUCCAAGAUCGAGGACGAGCAGGACCAUGCCACAGAGCGGGCCAACAUUAGCGACGAGUUCCUCAGCGCCGUCAAGGAGCGACGCCACAAGCUGGCCAUGCCGGCGGACAGUGACUGGGAGAGUGGGGCCGAAUCGCAGCCCCAGGCCAACCCCCAGGUGGGCGUGGCCGCCAACGAGUCGUCGUCGGAUGUGGAGGCAGCGCCCGUGCGCAUCCUCGAGGGCCAGGCGGAGGCCAGUCUGCGACAGCUUCCGAGGCAUCUGCGCGAAUUUGCCAAGUUCUCGACUAGUGAACAGAUGCCGGAUGGGGCACAGGUGGAGCGGCACGAGCAGCAGGAGCGGCGCGAGGAGGCCACGGACCACUCGCACAGCAGUGCCAGCCAGAAGACCAGCAUCGUGAAGACGUACAAGGUGUCGCGUCUGCCGCCUUCCGUGCAGGACAGAGGAGCAACAGCCACUGCAACAGCCACUGCAACAGCCACAGCAACAGCAGCAACUGGCACAGAGACUGGACCGGCCAUGAGUGUAAGGCUGCGACCACGACCGCCCAAGCAGACGCGCUUCCUCCUCAAUCCGCAGCAACUGCAGCGUCAGAGGCAACGACGCAGCUGGUCCGAGAGCGAUCUGCUCAAGGAGAUCGACAGCGAACUGCAGCUGGCCAAGGGCUUCCUCUACGCGAAUGAGUACACUCAGAGCACGGGCACGACGAUGUUUGCACCAAAAUUCAAGGCACGCGCGCCGUCAGGAUCAGGCGUGUGGACACCGUACGGUUCCGCCAGCGAUCUGAACCACAGCUCAUCUGCGGCGCCCACGCCCCCGCCGCCGCCCACGCAGCCCGUGUGGACACCGCAGCCAUCGCCGUCGUUGAGCGGCCGCAAGGAGUUCCGUCCGGUGCGCUUCGAGUCGCCCACCCUGCCACGCCGCUAUACGGCACUCCAGCACCAGCAACAGCAGCCGCAGCCGCAACAGCAGGAGCCACAGACGAAGAGCACGACGACGAUACCACCUUGGUCGCAUACAAACGGAGACCCCUACUCCGACUACACCGAAACGGACUGCUCCGCCCAUUUUGGCCCAGUGGCGCCAUCAGCCAGCGUCUCGGACAAGAUCAGAACCUUUGAACGCUCGGCUUCCACCUCGGAGCUGCAGAGGCCGUUCGUGCGCCGUCAACUGUCGGACACUGGCCGCCCAGCCUAUAGGCCCAAUGAAGUCAUCUACAAAGUCAAGCACGAGUAUAUGAGCGAACCGGAAACGGAGCACGAUCGUCCGCGCAAAAUGGCACAGUUAGGUCGGAGGCAGUACGAUGGCAUCGGUCCGGUGACCAACGAUGGAAUGCCCAUCAUACUCAGAUCGGAGGUCCAGGAGCCGCAUCAGCAUGAGUGGUACAAGCGCCUCUAUCAGACCAUACACAAGCAGAAGAACGGCGACGAUUUCGUGAUACGCUACAAGUGUCCCAGAGCCCGUCCGUCGUACAAGAGCAACGGUUACGUAUCAGAGCCCGAACCCAACUACGACUCCGACUACUCCACGGUGAGGUACCGCACACAGAAUCCUCAUCGAGUGCAGUCAGUCUCCUCGGCCGUCAAUGUGCGAAACCUGAGCCAGGACGAGAAGUUGUAUGGUACUAUGCCAAAUCCCAUCAAGUCGGCUCAGAAUUCGUAUAAAAAUCAGCCAGGUCGCAUCGAGGACUACACCACAGGACAUUCGUCUGUGUCCGAAAAGGAGAAGAAGGAGUGGUGGGACGAAGUGAUGGACAUCUUUAACGGGUGGCUUAGGGAUCAUACGCGCAUACCGCGCAUUAUAAUAGAGUUUGUCGAUGAUUUCGAUGGAAUCGGAGUAAGUUUCAUUAGAGAGAGAGCGAGGCAGGAUCAUCGCCAAGGCACCUCAACUAAUACAAAUACCAAAAAUUUAAGCAAAUCAAAUCAACAAAUGCACUCUGAAUAUCCCCUUAAAUGCUGACUAAUGUAUUCUCUUUCCCCACGAUAGAAUCUAGAACAAUCGAAGCUAUCUCCGCUCUACACAGAAGGAAACUUGUCCAGAGCUCUGGCCAAGGAAUCCGGCUACACCAGCGACUCCAACCUAGUCUUCCGCAAGAAGGAGCUGCCAGUCAGCAGUCCCCUCAGCCCCGUGG